AGUCGAGCGAGUCUGCCUUGAAGAUCGGAGUGCUUGCACUCUGUGAAACAAGAUACAGGCUAGCGGCGGACGGGUGAGUAACACGUGGGUAACCUGCCCAAGAGAUCGGGAUAACACCUGGAAACAGAUGCUAAUACCGGAUAACAACAGAUGAUGCCUAUCAACUGUUUAAAAGAUGGUUCUGCUAUCACUCUUGGAUGGACCUGCGGUGCAUUAGCUAGUUGGUAGGGUAACGGCCUACCAAGGCGAUGAUGCAUAGCCGAGUUGAGAGACUGAUCGGCCACAUUGGGACUGAGACACGGCCCAAACUCCUACGGGAGGCAGCAGUAGGGAAUCUUCCACAAUGGACGCAAGUCUGAUGGAGCAACGCCGCGUGAGUGAAGAAGGGUUUCGGCUCGUAAAGCUCUGUUGUUGGUGAAGAAGGACAGGGGUAGUAACUGACCUUUGUUUGACGGUAAUCAAUUAGAAAGUCACGGCUAACUACGUGCCAGCAGCCGCGGUAAUACGUAGGUGGCAAGCGUUGUCCGGAUUUAUUGGGCGUAAAGCGAGUGCAGGCGGUUCGAUAAGUCUGAUGUGAAAGCCUUCGGCUCAACCGGAGAAUUGCAUCAGAAACUGUCGAGCUUGAGUACAGAAGAGGAGAGUGGAACUCCAUGUGUAGCGGUGAAAUGCGUAGAUAUAUGGAAGAACACCGGUGGCGAAGGCGGCUCUCUGGUCUGUUACUGACGCUGAGGCUCGAAAGCAUGGGUAGCGAACAGGAUUAGAUACCCUGGUAGUCCAUGCCGUANACGAUGAGUGCUAAGUGUUGGGAGGUUUCCGCCUCUCAGUGCUGCAGCUAACGCAUUAAGCACUC
rnacentral:rRNA from 1 species